UGGAAUAAUGUAAGCAAGGAAAGUUAGCAAAAUGAUCCGUAACAUUAAAAAAGGAUUGACUCUGAGGGUUGGGCUCGAAGGUCCUAGCCCCGAACCCAUCGGCUACCGGCAGGCUGCUCGAGCUACUCCCGUGGUGUAAUUAGGCCGCCGCAUGCCGGUCGGAGGACGGAUCGGUAAUGGUCCUCUCAGAGGCCUUUCCCGGGCGUCGAACUACCAACUCAUAACUAGUACAGACAAGGGAAAUCAAAAUGUUUAAUUAAAAUAAAGCAUUGUAAUGGUGGUCUUUGCAAAUUCUGACGCAAUGUGAUUUCUCCUUGGUGCUCUGAAUGUCAAAGUGAAGAAAUUCAACCAAGUGUAGGUAGAUGGUGGGAGUAACUAUGAAUAUAUUAAGGUAACCAAAUGCCUCAUCAUCUAAUUAGUGAUGGGCAUGAAUAGAUUAAAGAGAUUCCCACUGUUCCUAUCUACUAUCCAAUGAAACCACAACUAAGGGAAUGGGUCGG
rnacentral:ncRNA from 1 species